rnacentral:lncRNA from 10 species
GUACUGGAGUUGCUGGCCCCGGGCACCACCUUCAACCGCUGAGAGUGGUCAUUGCGGAUAAACAGCACAGUUUCCCCAACCCUUCCUGAGACAAUCUUGCGGUAUACUCCACAUCAUCCCCUGAGGGCCCCUCUGGGACUGUGCCCCAGUUGCCCAUAAAGGGGUUAAUCAGAAGCCAACAUGGCGGAUUAGCUUCCAAGAUGGAGUUGCUGAUCCUUCAGGUAAGAUAACUCUGAGACAUGUGUUCUACACAGGUGGAAUUAAGCUUCACUUGCCUAGGGCAGUAACUGUCUUGAUAACUUGCUUAAUAUUGGUUGUCCUCCUUUCCCUGGGUCUCUUUUCUUCUCUACUCGUAUUUCUUUUGCCUUCCAAAGAAGUGAUGUGUCCUUGAGUCUUUGUCUCAGGGUCUGUAUCUAGAGAAUCUAAACUAAGAUAUGAGGUGUGCCAACAGGGGAUUCCAAACUAAGACACUUAUCAAUUAGAUCCAAUUGCAAACGGUCUUGCUUUAAAUCUCCCCAAAAGAACAGAAUGGGACAUGCUGUUCUUCAACUAAACAGCACUCCUGUUUACCAUCUGGGGCCAAACCACGGGGCUCCUAUUCCCUGAGUGGAAGGACCUCAUCUUCCCAUGGUAUUCACAAGGCUCACACCCCACCUUUUCAUACAUAAAUCACCCCCUUUAUUUCACAUGAACAUCUUUGUUGUAUUUUGCAGAAAGUUACCCUUACUGAAACACAGAGGACGCUCUGUUGGUAGCUUUGGAAAUGGCCCUUGGGGCUCCAGCUGGGAGCAUCUCAUGUUCUUGUUCCUACGUAGUUACUUUCUGGGGAUAGUCACACAUGUUGAAUGUUGGCAGGGAAGAGUUACCCUAGUCCAACACUUUCAUUUGCCAAAAAUAAGUUUUGAGGAUGGCUGAUGGGAAAUCCCACAGUGCCUACCAAUGGUAUCAUGCUACUUUAUGCUGUUUUCUGAAUGUUCUUUCAUUUUAUAACGUGAAUAUAAUGAAUGUUUGCUGAUUUGGGGCCACCCUGAAUCUACGGCACUCUCUUCCAUGCCAAGUAACCUGAGUUUCCAUUUGGGAACCACCCCUUCUGGAAGUUCGCUCCAUCAGGAAGUUCCCUUGAGCCUGUAACCCAACAAGGAGCAUGUGACUUAGCACCAACGAACCAGAGCAGUGGAGGUACAAUAACUAUGAUGAUUGGCUAGGUACAGUGGCUCACGCCUGUAAUCCAGUGCUUUGGGAGGCUGAGGCGGGGGGAUGACCUGAGGUCAGGAGUUCGAGACCAG